CAGUUCUACAAAUUCUGAAUAUACCAAGGCUGAUGUUUAUUCCUUUGGAGUAAUUCUUUUGGAGUUGAUUACCAUUCAACAACCUGUUGAUGAUAGAAGUUCCAAUGGUCACAAUGAUAUAGUUAACCAGGUAUAUAUUUAUUUCUCAAUUCAUACAAUAUAGAAGUAAUAUAAUACUGUAUAAAAAUUUUAGGCAUAAUAUUUUUUGAAUUAGUGAUGAGUAUUGGGAAUAAAAUUGAGAGACAUCAAAAGGAUUUUCUUUUUUCCAAAGAUCAAUUUAUUGUAAAUUUAUGGAACAAUAAUCCACUUUUUAAGGGUUUUUUUUUUAAACUUCAAAGUAAGAAAAUGUCAAAUAUGGAUAUACUAUUUCUUAUUAGUCUAUUAAACACUUAAACUAAAAUUGUAAUCUAUUGAACACCUAAAUUUAUAAAAAUUAUAAUAAUUAAACACAAAUUUAUUAUAUCAUUAAAGAUCUGUAAGUAGAAAUCAGAAAUAGUUCGAGUUAUUGUUAACUAUGUAAGAAAUUUUGUUAAUUAAACUCUAAAUCUUCAUAAAAUAAUGAUAUAAUACUCAACUAAUUUUAUUAAUUUAUAAAAAAAUAUAACGUAGUUAGUAAAAUUUAGAGUACAAACAUCAAUAUAUUUUACCAAUUUUAUUUUUUUCUAAUAAAUUAUCAAUGAUAUAACUAAUUUAUAUUUAGUUGUUAUAAUCUUUAUAAAUUUAAGUGUUGAAUAUAUUUUAAUUUUUUAGUUUAGGUAUAUAGUAGGUUAAUUCAAUUAGUAUGGAGGUAUAAGUACAUAUUAGGCCUUAAAAACUUUAUUCUCUUUCAUUUAUAAAUUUUCUAUAUAACUUGUCUUAUUUUAUAUUUAUCUUUGAAAAUUCAGGCUGCCUCUUUAAUUAAAAAUGCAUUGGAUAUCGGCAAAUACGAUGAUUUUAUUGAUUCUAACUUACAAAAUUCCUAUACAAAAAACAAAUAGUUCGAAUGCUAUAUUCUGGUGCAGAUUGUGUGUAUAAACCUUCAGAGCUUCGUCCACAAAUUGGCCAGGUAAAUCUACAAGAACCAGAUAUUAUGUUUUUCAUUUCAGGUCAUUGUAUCAAUUAGAUUAAUUUUCAUAAGAAUAUAAUUAUGGUACUACAACUUAGAAAAAGAAAAUCAAUAAGGAAUCCUAACGAGCUAAUAAUUUUAAGAAAUAUUAAUCUUUAGUUCUUGCAGUUUAUUGAACCUAAAUAAUUGGUUCUUCUUUUUCUUUAAAAAAAGUACAGUUCUAUAAUUUUCAACUUAUUAACUAUAUAAUUAGUCCCUUUAUUUAUUUAAGUCCUUAGUAACGUGUGAAAUAAAAUAAAGAUCUAUUUGAUAUUAUUGUUGGAAUAGCUAUUGAGAAAAAAAAUACUAUCUUAAAUAUAUUAGUAGAAGUAUACUAAAUAAUGUAGGUGUGAAAUAAAGGGAUUAAAUAGUCAUUUUUCUUAAUUUUCAGUUUAGUAUAAGUUAAUCAUUCUAUUAUUUUUGUAUAUGUUAUGUAGAUAAUUCAAGUCCUAAAAGGAACAACGGAGCUAGAGAAUAUAUGGCGUCUCAGUGAUAAUGAGAUUUUUCUACGAGAUGAAUCAUCGGAUAGUGUUCAUUCUAACUAAUACUAAGCAUGACUUAAUCAUAGCAUGUUGGCAUCUUUGGCUAAUUAUUGCUCUUCUACGUAGCAGCUACUCUCCUAGUGCUAUGCAUUCCAUCCAAUAGAUAUUGUAGGGAAUUCUAGCUGGUCUAUCUUCUAAUAAUGUUUGUACUCAGCUUUAGGUUCGUUUGAAUUAGCUCUUUGCUUUUGAUCUCUUAUGCUAGUUAAAUUGUAAUUGUGGAUAUUGAGAGUCAUUUUAUUGCUAGGGAGAGGUUCAAUUUAUUUAUAGUUGUUGAUUGGGAUGAGUCUAGAUUGUGGCUAAAUUGGUUUACAAGGUUUUUUUUGUUACUUUGGCUCAGCAUCUAGUUUUGUGAUUUUUAGUGAAUUUCAGGACUAAUUCUCUCUUUAUAAGCUGUUUAUA
rnacentral:lncRNA from 1 species